GAGUGACAAGCGCCAACAAAGAAGGAAGACGAGGAAGAAGGAGAGUGAAGCGAGCGCGUGGAGCCGCCAUCUUGGAGAAGGGGGCGCGCGCAGGGAAGGACGUGGUGGCCAGGGCGCAGCGUUCCAGGAGAAGACGGCCGGAGAUCGCCUCUCUGGGUCCUGCCCCAGUUCCUCGGCGACACAUCGACGUCCCGCCCGAGUACCAGGCUCGGCGAGCAGAUGCCCGACGUCCCUGGAACUACCGCUGGCCCGGACCUACCUGCCAGGACACGUCAGCGUUUGUGCCGCUGAACGUAGACGUGCGGAGGCUGGCUACAGCCAGUCACCGUCACGUCCGGAGAACUACGCUGGGCCGGCGCGCACCGGGAGCGCCAGCCGGCACGAGCCGCGCUCUGCCGGAGCGCGACAGCCCCUCAGCGACCGUGCCUUCGUCACGUCGGCCGGGGCAUCGGGGACGCCGGACACUAACAACGACUGACGACGACCAGAUCGCAUCGACGGACCACAGACCGGGGGACGCCGAUACCCGCGUCGAACAGAACCG
rnacentral:lncRNA from 1 species